CCUACGGGAGGCAGCAGUGAGGAAUAUUGGUCAAUGGGCGCGAGCCUGAACCAGCCAAGUCGCGUGAGGGAAGACGGUCCUAUGGAUUGUAAACCUCUUUUGUCGGGGAGCAAAAGACGCCACGCGUGGCGUUCCGAGAGUACCCGUAGAUAAAGCAUCGGCUAACUCUGUGCCAGCAGCCGCGGUAAUACGGAGGAUGCGAGCGUUAUCCGGUUAUAUUUGGUUUUAAGGGUGCGCAGGCGGAAGCUCAAGUCAGCGGUAAAAUUGAGAGGCUCAACCUCUUCGAGCCGUUGAAACUGGUUAUCUUGAGUGAGCGAGGAGUAAGCGGAAGGCGUGGUGUAGCGGUGAAAUGCAUAGAUAUCACGCAGAACUCCGAUUGCGAAGGCAGCAUACCGGCGCUCAACUGACGCUCAUGCACGAAAGUGUGGGUAUCGAACAGGAUUAGAUACCCUAGUAGUC
rnacentral:rRNA from 1 species